GGGCCUAUAGUUCAGUCAUAGAGCAUUUGACUCCAGAUCAAGAGAUCUCUGGUUCGAACCUGAUUGGGCUU
rnacentral:tRNA from 1 species